rnacentral:rRNA from 1 species
UACGAGGGGGGCAAGCGUUGUUCGGAAUUAUUGGGCGUAAAGGGCGCGUAGGCGGUCAGCACAAGUCAGUUGUGAAAUCUCCGAGCUUAACUCGGCAAGGUCAACUGAUACUGUGCGGCUAGAGUGCAGAAGGGGCAACUGGAAUUCUUGGUGUAGCGGUGAAAUGCGUAGAUAUGAAGAGGAACACCUGCGGCGAAGGCGGGUUGCUGGGCUGACACUGACGCUGAGGCGCGAAAGCCAGGGGAGCGAACGGG